AUUGAACGCUGGCGGCAUGCUUUACACAUGCAAGUCGAACGGUAACAGGCCUUCGGGUGCUGACGAGUGGCGAACGGGUGAGUAAUGCAUCGGAACGUACCCAGAGGUGGGGGAUAACGCAGCGAAAGCUGUGCUAAUACCGCAUGUGAUCUGAGGAUGAAAGCGGGGGACCGCGCAGCAAUGUUUGGCCUCGCGCCUUUGGAGCGGCCGAUGUCGGAUUAGCUAGUUGGUGGGGUAAAGGCCUACCAAGGCGACGAUCCGUAGCUGGUCUGAGAGGACGACCAGCCACACUGGGACUGAGACACGGCCCAGACUCCUACGGGAGGCAGCAGUGGGGAAUUUUGGACAAUGGGCGCAAGCCUGAUCCAGCAAUGCCGCGUGCGGAAAGAAGGCCUUCGGGUUGUAAACCGCUUUUGGCAGGAACGAAACGGUGUCCGCUAAUACCGGGCGCUAAUGACGGUACCUGCAGAAUAAGCACCGGCUAACUACGUG
rnacentral:rRNA from 1 species